rnacentral:rRNA from 1 species
CUGGCGGCAGGCCUUAUACAUGCAAGUCGAGCGCAUCCUUCGGGAUGAGCGGCGGACGGGUGAGUAACGCGUGGGAAUGUGCCCUUCUCUACGGAAUAGCCACUGGAAACGGUGAGUAAUACCGUAUACGCCCUUAGGGGGAAAGAUUUAUCGGAGAAGGAUCAGCCCGCGUUAGAUUAGGUAGUUGGUGGGGUAACGGCCUACCAAGCCUACGAUCUAUAGCUGGUUUUAGAGGAUGAUCAGCCACACUGGGACUGAGACACGGCCCAGACUCCUACGGGAGGCAGCAGUAGGGAAUCUUGGACAAUGGGGGAAACCCUGAUCCAGCCAUGCCGCGUGAGUGAAGAAGGCCUUAGGGUCGUAAAGCUCUUUCGCCUGUGAUGAUAAUGACAGUAGCAGGUAAAGAAACCCCGGCUAACUCCGUGCCAGCAGCCGCGGUAAUACGGAGGGGGUUAGCGUUGUUCGGAAUUACUGGGCGUAAAGCGUACGUAGGCGGAUUAAUAAGUUAGAGGUGAAAUCCCAGGGCUCAACCCUGGAACUGCCUUUAAAACUGUUAGUCUUGAGAUCGAGAGAGGUGAGUGGAAUUCCAAGUGUAGAGGUGAAAUUCGUAGAUAUUUGGAGGAACACCAGUGGCGAAGGCGGCUCACUGGCUCGAUACUGACGCUGAGGUACGAAAGUGUGGGGAGCAAACAGGAUUAGAUACCCUGGUAGUCCACACCGUAAACGAUGAAUGCCAGACGUCAGCAAGCAUGCUUGUUGGUG